rnacentral:rRNA from 1 species
CCUACGUGAGGCAGCAGUGAGGAAUAUUGGUCAAUGGGCGCGAGCCUGAACCAGCCAAGUAGCGUGAAGGAUGACUGCCCUACGGGUUGUAAACUUCUUUUAUAAAGGAAUAAAGUGAGGCACGUGUGCCUUUUUGUAUGUACUUUAUGCAUAAGGAUCGGCUAACUCCGUGCCAGCAGCCGCGGUAAUACGGAGGAUCCGAGCGUUAUCCGGAUUUAUUGGGUUUAAAGGGAGCGUAGAUGGGUUGUUAAGUCAGUUGUGAAAGUUUGCGGCUCAACCGUAAAAUUGCAAUUGAUACUGGCAGUCUUGAGUACAGUUGAGGUAGGCGGAAUUCGUGGUGUAGCGGUGAAAUGCUUAGAUAUCACGAAGAACUCCGAUUGCGAAGGCAGCUUACUAAACUGCCACUGACAUUGAUGCUCGAAAGUGUGGGUAUCAAACAGGAUUAGAUACCCUUGUAGUC